rnacentral:rRNA from 1 species
GACAGAGGUGCCGAGCGUUAGGCGGAAUCACUGGGCUUAAAGCGUGUGUAGGCGGACCGUUAAGUGCCUUGUGAAAUCCCACGGCUCACCCGUGGAACGGCUGGGCAGACUGGCGGUCUUGGGCGACCCAGGGGUCAGCGGAACAAAUGGUGGAGCGGUGAAAUGCGUAGAUAUCAUUUGGAACGCCGACGGCGAAAGCAGCUGACUGGGGGUCGGGCGCGAGCCCAUAGCCGACGCUGAGACACGAAAGCCAGGGGAGCGAACGGG